rfam:Prunus persica cultivar Lovell chromosome G4, whole genome shotgun sequence.
CAAGAAGUGAUGAUUUGUACCCAUCUAUUCUGCUUUUGAAUGAUGAAUAUUUACAUGCACUACCAUCUGAUCUAUG